UAAAGUGAAUAGAAAUCAAUGAAAUUUUAACACAAGGUUUAUGACCACAAAAGGAAGGUUGGGAUUGAUUUUGGGAGUUUUGGUCCCAACAUUUUAAGAAUUAGGGGCCAAAAAGGGCCCAAAUAAGCAUUUUCUUGGUUUUCGCACUAUAACUUUAGUUUAAGUGAAUAGAAAUCUAUGAAAUUUUGACACAAGGUUUAUGACCACAAAAGGAAGGUUGGGAUUGAUUUUGGGAGUUUUGGUUCCAACAGUUUAGGAAUUAGGGCCAAAAAAGGGCCCAAAUAAGCAUUAUUCUUGGUUUUCGCACAAUAACUUUAGUAUAAGUAAAUAGAAAUCAAUGAAAUUUUAACACAAGGUUUAUGACCACAAAAGGAAGGUUGGGAUUGAUUUUUGGAGUUGAGGUCACAAUAGUUUAUGAAUUAGGGGCCAAAAAGAGGCCCAAAUAAGCAUUAUUUUUGGUUUUUGCACCAUAACUUUAGUAUAAGUAAAUAGAAAUCUAUGAAAUUUAAACACAAGGUUUAUGACCAUAAAAGGAAGGUUGGGUUUGAUUUUGGGAGUUUUGGUCCUAACAGUUUAGGAAUAAGGGGCCCAAAGGGUCCAAAAUUGAACUUUGUGUGAUUUCAUCAAAAAUUAAAUAAUUGGGGUUCUUUGAUAUGCCGAAUCUAACUAUGUAUGUAGAUUCUUAAUUUUUGGUCCCGUUUUCAAAUUGGUCUACAUUAAGGUCCAAAAGGGUCCAAAAUUAAACUUAGUUUGAUUUUAACAAAAAUUGAAUCCUUGGGGUUCUUUGAUAUGCUGAAUUUAAAAAUGUACUUAGAUUUUUAAUUAUUGGCCUAGUUUUCAAGUUGGUCCAAAUGGGGGUCCAAAAUUAAACUUUGUUUGAUUUCAUCAAAAAUUGAAUAAAUGGGUUCUUUGAUAUUCCAAAUCUAACUGUGUAUGUAGAUUCUUAAUUUUUGGUCCAGUUUUCAAAUUGGUCUACAUUAAGGUCCAAAG
rnacentral:lncRNA from 1 species